rnacentral:rRNA from 1 species
GACGAACGCUGGCGGCGUGCCUAAUACAUGCAAGUCGAACGCAGUGGGGACGGGUGAGUAACACGUGGGUAACCUCCCAUCAGAGGGGAUAACCCUUGGAAACAGGUGCUAAACCGAUACUGAUGGAUGAACCCGCGGUGCAGUAGCUAGUUGGUGAGGUCACGGCUCACCAAGGCCACGAUGCAUAGCCGAUCUGAGAGGGUGAUCGGCCACACUGGGACGGAGACACGGCCCAGACUCCUACGGGAGGCAGCAGUGGGGAAUCUUCCGCAAUGGACGCAAGUCUGACCGAGCAAUGCCGCGUGAGUGAAGAAGGUUUUCGGAUCGUAAAGCUCUGUUGUUAGAGAAGCGGUAUCCAACGAGAAAGCCACGGCUAACUACGUGCCAGCAGCCGCGGUAAUUC